rnacentral:rRNA from 1 species
AUGGACCAUUCCAUCCCUUUUUCCCGUGCAUAUGCAUCGGACUCGGAUGACGAUGGUCCCGACGAACAAGUUGAUGCGGAGGGGUUCACGGUGAAGGAGGCCGAAGCUUUCGAGAAGGUAUUCGGUCGGGAUCAUCGGACUACAUUGUUCAAGGAUGUUAGUCUCACGGAUGAAGCCGUGGUAGAUGGUGGCCAAUGUAUAUCUAUUGGGGUUAGCCCAAGCUCUCAC